GAUGAACGCUAGCUACAGGCUUAACACAUGCAAGUCGAGGGGAAACGAUAUUGGAAGCUUGCUUCUGAUAGGCGUCGACCGGCGCACGGGUGAGUAACGCGUAUCCAACCUGCCCAUCACUUGGGGAUAACCUUGUGAAAGUAAGACUAAUACCCAAUGACGUCUCUAGAAGACAUCUGAAAGAGAUUAAAGAUUUAUCGGUGAUGGAUGGGGAUGCGUCUGAUUAGCUUGUUGGCGGGGUAACGGCCCACCAAGGCGACGAUCAGUAGGGGUUCUGAGAGGAAGGUCCCCCCANAUUGGAACUGAGACACGGGUCCAAACUCCUACGGGAGGCAGCAGUGAGGAAUAUUGGUCAAUGGACGAGAGUCUGAACCAGCCAAGUAGCGUGCAGGAUGACGGCCCUAUGGGUUGUAAACUGCUUUUAUAAGGGAAUAAGUGAGUCUCGUGAGACUUUUUGCAUGUACCUUAUGAAUAAGGACGGCUAAUUCCGUGCCAG
rnacentral:rRNA from 1 species